CUACGGGGUGCAGCAGUGAGGAAUAUUGCGCAAUGGACGAAAGUCUGACGCAGCCAUGCCGCGUGCAGGAUGACGGCGCUAUGCGUUGUAAACUGCUUUUAUAGGCCAAGAAACCUUCGGACGUGUCCGAAGCUGACGGUAGCAUAUGAAUAAGCACCGGCUAACUCCGUGCCAGCAGCCGCGGUCAUACGGAGGGUGCAAGCGUUAUCCGGAUUUAUUGGGUUUAAAGGGUCCGUAGGCGGAUCAUUAAGUCAGUGGUGAAAGCCGGCAGCUCAACUGUCGAACUGCCAUUGAUACUGGUGAUCUCGAAUACGGUUGAAGUUGGCGGAAUAGGUCAUGUAGCGGUGAAAUGCUUAGAUAUGACCUAGAACACCGAUUGCGAAGGCAGCCAACUAAGCCGUUAUUGACGCUGAGGGACGAAAGCGUGGGGAGCGAACAGGAUUAGAUACCCUAGUAGUC
rnacentral:rRNA from 1 species